CAGCAGCCGCGGUAAUACAGAGGGUGCAAGCGUUAAUCGGAAUUACUGGGCGUAAAGCGCGCGUAGGUGGUUUGUUAAGUUGGAUGUGAAAGCCCCGGGCUCAACCUGGGAACUGCAUCCAAAACUGGCAAGCUAGAGUACGGUAGAGGGUGGUGGAAUUUCCUGUGUAGCGGUGAAAUGCGUAGAUAUAGGAAGGAACACCAGUGGCGAAGGCGACCACCUAGACUGAUACUGACACUGAGGUGCGAAAGCGUGGGGAGCAAACAGGAUUAGAUACCCCCGUAGUCCCUGUCUCUUAUAC
rnacentral:rRNA from 1 species